UAGUGGCGAACGGGUGAGUAACACGUGGGCAAUCUGCCCUUCACUCUGGGACAAGCCCUGGAAACGGGGUCUAAUACCGGAUAACACUGCGGAUCGCAUGGUCUGCGGUUAAAAGCUCCGGCGGUGAAGGAUGAGCCCGCGGCCUAUCAGCUUGUUGGUGGGGUGAUGGCCUACCAAGGCGACGACGGGUAGCCGGCCUGAGAGGGCGACCGGCCACACUGGGACUGAGACACGGCCCAGACUCCUACGGGAGGCAGCAGUGGGGAAUAUUGCACAAUGGGCGAAAGCCUGAUGCAGCGACGCCGCGUGAGGGAUGACGGCCUUCGGGUUGUAAACCUCUUUCAGCAGGGAAGAAGCGAAAGUGACGGUACCUGCAGAAGAAGCGCCGGCUAACUACGUGCCAGCAGCCGCGGUAAUACGUAGGGCGCAAGCGUUGUCCGGAAUUAUUGGGCGUAAAGAGCUCGUAGGCGGCUUGUCACGUCGGAUGUGAAAGCCCGGGGCUUAACCCCGGGUCUGCAUUCGAUACGGGCAGGCUAGAGUGUGGUAGGGGAGAUCGGAAUUCCUGGUGUAGCGGUGAAAUGCGCAGAUAUCAGGAGGAACACCGGUGGCGAAGGCGGAUCUCUGGGCCAUUACUGACGCUGAGGAGCGAAAGCGUGGGGAGCGAACAGGAUUAGAUACCCUGGUAGUCCACGCCGUAAACGUUGGGAACUAGGUGUUGGCGACAUUCCACGUCGUCGGUGCCGCAGCUAACGCAUUAAGUUCCCCGCCUGGGGAGUACGGCCGCAAGGCUAAACUCAAAGGAAUUGACGGGGGCCCGCACAAGCAGCGGAGCAUGUGGCUUAAUUCGACGCAACGCGAAGAACCUUACCAAGGCUUGACAUAUACCGGAAAGCAUCAGAGAUGGUGCCCCCCUUGUGGUCGGUAUACAGGUGGUGCAUGGCUGUCGUCAGCUCGUGUCGUGAGAUGUUGGGUUAAGUCCCGCAACGAGCGCAACCCUUGUUCUGUGUUGCCAGCAUGCCCUUCGGGGUGAUGGGGACUCACAGGAGACUGCCGGGGUCAACUCGGAGGAAGGUGGGGACGACGUCAAGUCAUCAUGCCCCUUAUGUCUUGGGCUGCACACGUGCUACAAUGGCCGGUACAAAGAGCUGCGAAGCCGUGAGGCGGAGCGAAUCUCAAAAAGCCGGUCUCAGUUCGGAUUGGGGUCUGCAACUCGACCCCAUGAAGUCGGAGUUGCUAGUAAUCGCAGAUCAGCAUUGCUGCGGUGAAUACGUUCCCGGGCCUUGUACACACCGCCCGUCACGUCACGAAAGUCGGUAACACCCGAAGCCG
rnacentral:rRNA from 1 species